rnacentral:rRNA from 1 species
UGAACGCUGGCGGCGUGCCUAAUACAUGCAAGUCGAGCGAACAGACGAGGAGCUUGCUCCUCUGACGUUAGCGGCGGACGGGUGAGUAACACGUGGAUAACCUACCUAUAAGACUGGGAUAACUUCGGGAAACCGGAGCUAAUACCGGAUAAUAUAUUGAACCGCAUGGUUCAAUAGUGAAAGACGGUUUUGCUGUCACUUAUAGAUGGAUCCGCGCCGCAUUAGCUAGUUGGUAAGGUAACGGCUUACCAAGGCAACGAUGCGUAGCCGACCUGAGAGGGUGAGCGGCCACACUGGAACUGAGACACGGUCCAGACUCCUACGGGAGGCAGCAGUAGGGAAUCUUCCGCAAUGGGCGAAAGCCUGACGGAGCAACGCCGCGUGAGUGAUGAAGGUCUUCGGAUCGUAAAACUCUGUUAUUAGGGAAGAACAAAUGUGUAAGUAACUAUGCACGUCUUGACGGUACCUAAUCAGAAAGCCACGGCUAACUACGUG